GACGAACGCUGGCGGCGUGCUUAACACAUGCAAGUCGAACGGAAAGGCCCUGCUUUUGUGGGGUGCUCGAGUGGCGAACGGGUGAGUAACACGUGAGUAACCUGCCCUUGACUUUGGGAUAACUUCAGGAAACUGGGGCUAAUACCGGAUAGGAGCUCCUGCUGCAUGGUGGGGGUUGGAAAGUUUCGGCGGUUGGGGAUGGACUCGCCGCUUAUCAGCUUGUUGGUUGGGUAGUGGCUUACCAAGGCUUUGACGGGUAGCCGGCCUGAGAGGGUGACCGGCCACAUUGGGACUGAGAUACGGCCCAGACUCCUACGGGAGGCAGCAGUGGGGAAUAUUGCACAAUGGGCGGAAGCCUGAUGCAGAAACGCCGCGUGCGGGAUGACGGCCUUCGGGUUGUAAACCGCUUUCGCCUGUGACGAAGCGUGAGUGACGGUAAUGGGUAAAGAAGCACCGGCUAACUACGUG
rnacentral:rRNA from 1 species